rnacentral:lncRNA from 1 species
CCAGCCCUUCCCACUCCAGCCUUUUCUCCUGAGCUUCUGCCUUGCCGUCCUUCGCGGGGGGGGGGGGGGUCUGGAAGAUGCCGCCUUUGUUUGUUCUGAACUAAGGAUUCCUUAUGGGUUUUUUGGGGGGAUGGGGGGCACUGGGUUAGACUUUCUAUCUCUUGAGGUGUUCUAGAUUUCAGGCAAACUCAGAAAGGGUCUCAGCGUUUCCUGACCUGGGGGAGACAGAAAGAGCGGCAGUGAAAUUGCUUCGAGUCAGAAGCAAAAAGGGCGUUGGGAAUCCUGGGGCCUCGGAGCUGGGUUGGGGGGGGGGUCUGUCUGCCUGUAUGGAAGCCUCUUCAGGCUCUGGGUCCACCGUAAGCCUUGCCUUCCACCUCGGGGCUACCUUGGGGGGCUGGAGAAGGGACUUGUAAGGGGAAAGGAAGGGAGCUGUCUGCCUAAGAGCCCACUCCACUAGCAACAGCUUGUUCCGACUCUUCCUUGAAGCUUUCAAGAAUCAAGAAGCUACCCUUCUCCCUCUGAGGUCUCUUGAGAAGGUUCUAACCCACAGGUGGGACCCCCAAGCCCUGAUCUGCCCGUGGGCUCCCUGUGGGGCAUGCCAGGUAUAGUGGAGGGGGUUGGGAUGAUAAGACUUGGUCCCUGUUAGCUGGGCUGUCUAGCUAACAGGUGGUAUGCUCAGCGAACCCGCAGGCACCCUCCCACCACCACUCUUCCAACCUAUCUUCUCCCGUGAGAUGGGGCUUCCCCAGUCCCAGCCGUCCAGGGCUCUCUGCGGGCUGCUGUACGACCUUGCAAGGACGCUGGGCUGAGAGUCCGCCUUCCGCGGCGUGGAAGGAGAUGGAUGAGCAUGCUAAUUGCAACUCAAUUUCUGAUAGCUGUGAGCAGCUCUUGGCGUGGGUUAAGCUACCUGGGUCUUUUCCUUGGCAGGAGAAGAGCGUCCAGUAGGAGCUCCGCUUUCGUAGGCAUUUCUCAAUUUCCUCCAAGUUACUCUUACGACUGAAGCAAGUCAGCUCUGGCCUGGGAAACAGUGGGGCUGGGAGUGUGCUGGGAGCACGUCUGAAACCCCACUGAAUUCUGAGUCUGUGCCGUGCAGGGAGUAAGUGCCAAGGCACUGAGGUCGGGCUGCCUGAGCUGGAAUCUCAGCCCUGCUGUGUCCUGUGGACCUUGGGCAGGUUACUUAACCUCUCUGUGCUUCUGUUUUCCCAUUAUUAAACUGGGGGCAUAGUACUAGUCAUGGGGUUAUGCCUACCAAAUGGAUACACUGAUCGAAUGAUCAAAUCUUUCUACUAGAACAAGGUAGGGGUCAGAAAAAGCUGACACAAAGCUAAUUUGGGGAAAACGCUUUCUGAAGGAUUGAGGCUCCAGGGGAAAGGCCGCUGCUUCACUCCCUUCCGGGCCCGUGCAAGCGGAGAGCUCCCAGUCAUGCAGCAUCGGCAGGUUGGCCUGGGACCGUUUCCUCUGCAUCUUCCCUGAACUCUGCUCCUGGUGUGACGGGAAGGGAGGAAGGAGGGCCCCCCAUGGCUCAGUCCUCAGGAGCACUUUCUCCCCGAGAAUCCCUGUGGAUCACGUGGAGAUCAAGGCAGCUUGGGCAAAGUGGGGCCUCACUUCUCAGACCAGCCCCUUUCCUUUGGCCCUCCCCGAGAGAGACCGGCAUUCCUGCCCCGUGGGGCCGCCAUCUUGCACAGCUUUUUCUCAAGCCCCGCGUGCAGCGAAUAGCUAAGUCUGGGCACCUGGCCAUACAGCCGUACCUCUCGCCCUGUAGGUUCUCCUGCCUGACUUACAUCAAGUGUGAGGCUUACCCGAUGCUUAAGAUCCCAGCUGCUGUUCGGGAGCAUUACAUUGGCGCUACAGCGAAAGCUUCACAAGUGAAGUAAGGAAGUUUGAUGACUGACUUAAAAAAAAAAAAAAAAAAAAAAACCUUUAGGUAGAGUGAGUUCAUCUUCAGCAUCAUCGGACCCCUUUUCUCCUGUCCUCCUGCCUUUCUCCCUUUCUCUACCUGUCCUCCAUAGCUAAGCCUUCUAUAAUAUUGACAUUCUUUGAAUCGGAUCCUUGCAAGGACGCGCAGUGGUGACUUGUGUUGUAGAUAAUGGGCGUGGUGUAACAUCACAGCCUCCACUUGGGUCUCAUCCAGAAUUUGCCCACCCUGCUGGGUUUAUAGGACUUAACUACUCUGGGUGUUCAUCCAGCUGCUCGUUUCUACCUGCUAGGCGGGUAUGCCUAGUGAGCACCUAUCACGUCUUCCUUGUCUAUCUCCCAGCAACGAACACACACUUUCCUCCAACUGUGCCCCUUAAAGGGGGCUUAUGGCUGCCUUUGCUGCAGUGCCAGAAUGUGAGAUGUAAGAAGGGGGGUGGUCAGGGGAAAAGCCCUUAGCACGAGCUUUGAAGGGUAUGUGGGGCUGAGCUGGGCCCACAAGGCCUGGCUGGGUUGGGGUUUAGGAGAAGGAAGGCGUGCCUCUCCCACCAGGGCUGCAGCAGAGGCUGGACGGCUGGGAGGCGCUCAUGUGUGGUGGGCCUCUGGGCUUCUGCUGAGGUUCUCAACCUCAUCAAAUGUGAGUGAGUCUCCUAAAGGAAGUCCUAGCCCUUAUUUUACCAGAGACAAAGCUGAGGCAAAGGUCCGGUAAAUAAUGUAGCUGGUCUCGAGUGGGUGGUACCAUUCCAGAUCCUGGCAAGAAGCAGCAGUUACCUACAGAGGAUUUAAUUGAAGACAGCAGACCACAGGAUUUCAUCGUGCAGAGGUUACAUCAUGUUCACCACCCAAAGACUAAUUACAAUCCAUCACCACAUGUGAGGUAAAGAUUUCUUAGGUAAGUGAUCAGACACGUAAUUCAUAAAACAAGAUUGCACGUCAUCA